CCUGUCUCAGUUCGGAUUGGAGUCUGCAACCCGACUCCAUGAAGCUGGAUUCGCUAGUAAUCGCGCAUCAGCCACGGCGCGGUGAAUACGUUCCCGGGCCUUGUACACACCGCCCGUCAAGCCAUGGAAGCCGGGGGGUGGCCUGAAGUGCGCUGCCGCAAGGAGCGCCCUAGGGUAAAACCGGUGACUGGGGCUAAGUCGUAACAAGGUAUC
rnacentral:rRNA from 1 species